GGUUUGUGGCUCAGUGGUAGAGCACUUGCCUAGCAUGUGUGAGGCACUGGCUUCAAUUCUCAGGACCA
rnacentral:tRNA from 1 species